AGAGUACAUGUGAAAAAAUGCCUUUUUAAAGAGUAUGAAAAACUUGAGUUGUAAAAUUUUCUUGUGGAUAAUUUAUUAUUGCUUUUCUUUUUUAGAUAACACUAACAAAGUUGACCUUAGAAUUGGAGUGCCUGGGUUAGAACCCUGCUGGUACCACCUGCUUACUGUAAGACUUUGGUCAAGUUAUUAACUUUUCUGUUCCUCAUUUGUGAAAUAUUGUGAAAAAUAGUCUGUUUGCCUGUCUGAGAACAGUACUGGCACAAAAGUGCUUAAUACACUUCACUCAUUAUUAUUAAUAUUACUAUUGUUGCAUUUUCCCCUUGAAGGCAUGCUUCUGAUGUGAGUUCAGGAGAAGACACUGGCAAGGACAGCAAAGAACAGGAGAACACUCUAGCUUCCCUGAUAGCAUUCAAGGUGCUGUCCAAAGCUCUUGAGUUUCUGCUUUCAAGUGACCCUCAGAAAUUCCUCCAUUCACUGCAGAGGUUCUGUUUCUCCUUGCUUUGUUCUGACUUUACGGCAGAACUAAGCUAAUGAGUUAGUUACUAUGGGUUAUCACUUGGAUUUGAAGAACCAUCAUUUCUAGGCAUUGCUGCUCAGAGUGGGUCUGCCCUCAGGGGAAGCUGUCUAACCAGAGCCUAACCCACUAGGGUUUUAUCAGAACCUAACUGACCUGAGGAAAAGAAAUACUCAACUCCAGCAAGCUCCAGCCUUCCAAAUGGAGGAGGAGAAAACCCAACUCCAGCCCACUUCAGCUAUCUUGUCCCACAUAAAGGGGAAGUGGAAGAAACCUGAGAAGCAGGCAUGAAGUUCACAGUCCAGAGGUACAGACACAUCAGAGUUCAGUAUCUGAUGAAUUAGAUGCAAAAACCUCAACAAAGUAUUAGCAAAUUGAAUUCAACAAUGUAUGAAAAUUAUUACAUGCCAUGACUAAUUGGAAUUUAUCUCAGGUAUACAAGCCACGCUGAACAUCUGAAAAUCAAUUCAUGUGAUCCAUCACAUUAGCAGACUCAAGAAAAAAAACCACAUUAUCAUAUCAGUAGAUGUAGAAAAAAAAAAUUAACAAAA
rnacentral:lncRNA from 1 species